GAUGAACGCUGGCGGCGUGCUUAACACAUGCAAGUCGAACGAACCUUCGGGUUAGUGGCGGACGGGUGAGUAACGCGUGAGAAUCUGCCCUCAGGAGGGGGAUAACGGUUGGAAACGACCGCUAAUACCCCAUAUGCCUACUGGUGAAACGAAUUUCGCCUGGGGAUGAGCUCGCGUCUGAUUAGCUAGUUGGUGAGGUAAUUGCUCACCAAGGCUUCGAUCAGUAGCUGGUCUGAGAGGAUGAUCAGCCACACUGGGACUGAGACACGGCCCAGACUCCUACGGGAGGCAGCAGUGGGGAAUUUUCCGCAAUGGGCGAAAGCCUGACGGAGCAACGCCGCGUGAGGGACGAAGGCCUCUGGGCUGUAAACCUCUUUUCUCAAGGAAGAAGAUAUGACGGUACUUGAGGAAUAAGCCACGGCUAAUUCCGUGCCAGCAGCCGCGGUAAUACGGGAGUGGCAAGCGUUAUCCGGAAUUAUUGGGCGUAAAGCGUCCGCAGGCGGCUUUUCAAGUCUGCUGUUAAAGCGUGGAGCUUAACUCCAUCAUGGCAGUGGAAACUGAAAGGCUUGAGUAUGGUAGGGGCAGAGGGAAUUCCCGGUGUAUCGGUGAAAUGCGUAGAUAUCGGGAAGAACACCAGUGGCGAAGGCGCUCUGCUGGGCCAUUACUGACGCUCAUGGACGAAAGCCAGGGGAGCGAAAGGGAUUAGAUACCCCUGUAGUCCUGGCCGUAAACGAUGAACACUAGGUGUCGGGGGAAUCGACCCCUUCGGUGUCGUAGCUAACGCGUUAAGUGUUCCGCCUGGGGAGUACGCACGCAAGUGUGAAACUCAAAGGAAUUGACGGGGGCCCGCACAAGCGGUGGAGUAUGUGGUUUAAUUCGAUGCAACGCGAAGAACCUUACCAGGGUUUGACAUCCUGCGAACCUCUUAGAAAUUUGAGGGUGCCUUCGGGAAUGCAGUGACAGGUGGUGCAUGGCUGUCGUCAGCUCGUGUCGUGAGAUGUUGGGUUAAGUCCCGCAACGAGCGCAACCCACGUUUUUAGUUGCCAGCAUUUAGUUGGGCACUCUAGAAAGACCGCCGGUGAUAAACCGGAGGAAGGUGUGGAUGACGUCAAGUCAUCAUGCCCCUUACACCCUGGGCUACACACGUACUACAAUGCUACGGACAAAGGGCAGCAAACUCGCGAGAGCUAGCAAAUCCCAUAAACCGUGGCUCAGUUCAGAUCGUAGGCUGCAACUCGCCUACGUGAAGUAGGAAUCGCUAGUAAUCGCAGGUCAGCAUACUGCGGUGAAUACGUUCCCGGGCCUU
rnacentral:rRNA from 1 species